rnacentral:rRNA from 1 species
GUUUGAAUCCUGGCUCAGGACGAACGCUGGCGGCGUGCUUAACACAUGCAAGUCGAACGGUGAUGUCAGAGCUUGCUCUGGCGGAUCAGUGGCGAACGGGUGAGUAACACGUGAGUAACCUGCCCCCGACUCUGGGAUAACUGCUAGAAAUGGUAGCUAAUACCGGAUAUGAYGAUUGGCCGCAUGGUCUGGUCGUGGAAAGAAUUUCGGUUGGGGAUGGACUCGCGGCCUAUCAGGUUGUUGGUGAGGUAAUGGCUCACCAAGCCUACGACGGGUAGCCGGCCUGAGAGGGUGACCGGCCACACUGGGACUGAGACACGGCCCAGACUCCUACGGGAGGCAGCAGUGGGGAAUAUUGCACAAUGGGCGCAAGCCUGAUGCAGCAACGCCGCGUGAGGGAUGACGGCCUUCGGGUUGUAAACCUCUUUUAGUAGGGAAGAAGCGAAAGUG